rnacentral:rRNA from 1 species
GGGGGGGGGGGGGGGGGGGGGGGGGGGGGGGGGGGCGGGGGGACGGGCGGGGGGCGUGGGCGGCGGACGGGAGCGGCGGACGGGUGGGUGACAGGUGGAUGACCGACCUAUAAUACGGGGAGAACUUCGGGACACCGGCGCUAAGACCGGAGAAUAUAUGGACCCGCAUGGUUCAAGAGUGAAGGACGGGUUUGUGGUCUCUCAUAGAUGGAUCCGCGCCGCAUUAGCUAGUGGGUAAGGUAACGGCUUACCAAGGCAACCAUGCGUAGCCGACCUGAGAGGGUGAUCGGCCACACUGGAACUGAGACACGGUCCAGACUCCUACGGGAGGCAGCAGUAGGGAAUCUUCCGCAAUGGGCGAAAGCCUGACGGAGCAACGCCGCGUGAGUGAUGAAGGUCUUCGGAUCGUAAAACUCUGUUAUUAGGGAAGAACAAAUGUGUAAGUAACUAUGCACGUCUUGACGGUACCUAAUCAGAAAGCCACGGCUAACUACGUG